UAAAACAAAUUAUAGUGUCAACUCAGCCCUCC
rnacentral:piRNA from 1 species